ensembl:lncRNA
CACUGUGAUACUGUGAUCAGAAAAGCUGCGAUAAGAAAAAGAAUGCAUAUGGGGAAAAGUAAACUACAAAGAGGGGAGAGAGGAAAAAAUGGCUCACCAUCCCCCUGGGACUGUGAGUGACUUUCAGUAUUCCCCCAAAAGUUUCACUUCAAACAUUAUGAGGCCAAAGAGGUCUUUUUCUGCAUGCCAGUUCUGGCAGCUGAUGGAGGAGGCAGAGGAAGAAGGAUGGCUGAAUUUUUCAUUCAAGUAACUUUGUUCCCAUUUGGAUGUGCCUUGUCUGGAAUUCCCAUUGAUGGCAACAAGGUGGGAAUUUUCCUGAUUUGGAGGGCAAAAGUCAUCUCUUGGACCUGAGUUUGUUUAUAUUUUUUGGGGCCAGGAGGGACCAUUAGAUCAUCCGUUCUGGCCUCCUGCACAACACAUGCCGCAGAAUCUCAUCCAAAAAGCUUGUACUCUUAAGGGUCUGCAGCCUCGGUGUAUGAUAUCAAAACUGAAAUCAGGCCCAGCAGUGUUCUCCGCUAAACUGGGCCAAGAAGCAUAAUAAAGAUUUGGCCUUGCUAUAAAAAUGUGCCGUGCUGUACUGCUACUCUGCUUAUUCCAUGCUGGCUUCCGGGCUUCUAAUAAAGGAACAGGCAUUGGGCAAAGCACCCAGGGUUCAAAGAUUUGUUUCACGCCUUGUGUUGAGUCCGGAGCGCGCUGUCAAGAAACUGGGGCACCCUGCCCUUCAGGUGGGAGCACUUCAGAGGUGGCCGAGGACAAUUCCAGCAUCCACGGGGCUCUUUGAAUCCUUCACAACAAAAC